CAAAGAAAGUUGAAACAAAGAAGUCCCAAAUUAAUCUCUGAAAUGUCACUCCAAAAGGUACUUCAAAACCUAAGAACUCUCAAAAAAUGGCAAAUCCCAAAUCCCCCUCUUCACCCUAGAGCAAAAAUUGCAGACACCAUUAUCAAUACAGUGCUAAGCCCCAUAGUCAUUGCACCCUCUACUCUUCUCUCCAACCUCACUCCCAAUUUGAUUCUCCUUAUUUUAUCUGACCCACAUAUCAACACACCUAAAUGCCUCGACUUCUUCAAUUUCCUUUUGCUUAAUCAAUCUUUCAUUACUUUCAAGAUUGGUGUUGAAACCCACUUGACACUUGUUUGCAGGCUUGUCAAAGAAGGAUACUUUGAAGAUGCUGAGACCCUUUUAGUUUUAGUCCCAAAUAUUGAAACUUUCAGGUGCCCUUUUGCUGUUAUAGCUUCUUUCUUUGAGAAUCACAAUGCUCCAUCAAAGUUUGCUUCGAAAAUAUUCAAUUUGCUUCUUAAAGCUUUAUCUGAUAACGGAAAAUUCAACGAGGCUUUAGAGAUUUUCAUGUAUAUGAAACUAAAUGCAAUUGAGAUUAAUGAGAGAACAUGUACUGUUCAUUUGAUUAAUCUUUUGAAGUGUAAUCAGAUCGCGUUAGCGCUGGUAUUCUUUUAUCAAAUGGUUGAAUCAGGUAUUCAGGUUUCAGUAUUUUCGUUGACGGUCGUGGUAGAUGGAUUGUGUAAGAGUGGGGAGAUAAAGAAGGCUAGAGAAUUGGUGGAGGAAAUGUUGUCUAAAGGGGUGAAGCCUAAUAUUAUUACAUGUAAUACCUUGGUGGAUGCUUGUGCUAGGAGAUGGAAUUUCGAAGAAAUGAACAACAUUUUGGCCUUGAUGAAAAGGGAACGAGUCGAUUUAAAUGUUGAGACUUACAAAUUUUUGGUGGAUGGAUUUUUGAGUAGUGGGAAGAUUGAUGAUGCAGAGAGAUUGAUUUUGGAAAUGUAUGUCAAGGGUUUUAAAGUGGAUAUCCAUUUGUAUAAUUUGAUGAUUAAGGGAUAUUGCAGGCUAGGGAAUAUGGAAAGGGCACUUUCAUUGUUCAGGCAGAUGAUUGAGAAAGACAUCUGCCCUAAUUGUGAUACAUAUUCAGUUUUGGUAAAAGGACUUUGUGAUAAAGGACAGGUAAGUGCAGCAAAAGAGCUCGUAGAUAAAAUGCUGGGCCAGGGAAUUGAGUUGGAUGGAAGUAUGUUCGACAUCUUAAUUCACUGUUACUUCAAGGCUGGAAUGAUUGAGGAAGCUGUUAGCGUACUUGGAUUGAUGGAGAAGAGAGAAUUCAUUGCUGAUACGUCUGUGUAUGAGCUGAUAAUUGAUGGAUUACUCAAGUUAGAUCGGACUGAAGAGGCAAUAUCUUGGUUAACACCUUUAAUCAAAAGGGGUGUAUCUAGGCAGAAGUUAGCUACUAUUCCACUGGUCGAUUAUUUAAGAAAUUCAGUUUCUGAAAAGUUGGUUCACAAAUACAAAGAAAAUGAGAACAGCUUUAAAACAACCUUUUACUCUGAUACGAUUAGUUUACAGCACAAGGAUGCACAUUCUGCUGAAAUGACUAACAUUUCAGCAGUAAUAAACGAGUAUAUAAAGUAAAAUGCUGCUUAACUUGUUGUUCAGAGAAGGAGGAGACAUGCAUCGUAAGUGAAAAGAACCCAUGAUGAUGUGGCACUGAAGGAAAGUUUUGAGGACGUUGGUUGCCUUGUGUGUCAAGGGGUGCAGGUUUUGUCAUGAUAGUGCUAGAUUUUUGGACGAGAAAACAGGCUGGAAAUGAUGUGGGUUGUCAAUUAUCACCUUGGGAGUUUGUUUGGGAAUCAGGGAAAGACACCGAAAAGGAAAACGGAGAGGGGGAAAGUGAAGGAUAAAUAACUCUACUUUUUUGUUCGGAGAAAUGAGGAAACCAUAUGCUUGCCCGUUGUCCCUUCACAUUCACUACUUGUGUAUUGAAGGUAUCAGGUGAAAUUGAAGCUCAGUUUGCUCCAAUUGGUGCUAAGUCUGUUGUUAAGAAAAUGUUGUCAUACCGCAACUCUGUACCCUUUU